CCUAAGGCUGCAGCAGUGGGGCAUAUUGGACAAUGGGCGAAAGCCUGGUCCAGCCAUGCCGCGUGUGUGAAGAAGGCCUUUUGGUUGUAAAGCACUUUAAGCGAGGAGGAGGCUACCGAGAUUAAUACUCUUGGAUAGUGGACGUUACUCGCAGAAUAAGCACCGGCUAACUCUGUGCCAGCAGCCGCGGUAAUACAGAGGGUGCGAGCGUUAAUCGGAUUUACUGGGCGUAAAGCGUGCGUAGGCGGCUUUUUAAGUCGGAUGUGAAAUCCCUGAGCUUAACUUAGGAAUUGCAUUCGAUACUGGGAAGCUAGAGUAUGGGAGAGGAUGGUAGAAUUCCAGGUGUAGCGGUGAAAUGCGUAGAGAUCUGGAGGAAUACCGAUGGCGAAGGCAGCCAUCUGGCCUAAUACUGACGCUGAGUUACGAAAGCAUGGGGAGCAAACAGGAUUAGAUACCCUGGUAGUC
rnacentral:rRNA from 1 species